UUUUUUUUUCGGGAAGAGCAGUCAGUGGUUUUUUUUUUUUUUUUUUUUUUUUUUUCAGAGCUGGGGACCGAACCCAGGGCCUUACGCUUCCUAGGCAAGCGCUCUACCACUGAGCUAAAUCCCCAACCCCCAUAAUUGACUUUUUUAAUUGGAGCUAUGUCUUUGAUGCAAAUAAUUGUACCAGAGGUGAAUCCCGGUUGAAGUCUAGUUAAGCAAGACAGAAAGAAUGAAAGAAAAUCUUUGACUGGACAAGGGAUCUGGUAAGGGACCAAGAUUCAGAUGCAACGACAAAUGUUAUCUAUAGUUGUGUAUCCUUACAAUGGCCUUGGCCUGGGUCUUAUGAUGCAAUGUAUGCUGGCCAUGAGUCCACCGUGCUCUUCUUGUCAUAGCCUCACAAGUGCUGGGUGACAGCCAUGUACCAGCAUCCUCUGGAUUUUUAAACCAUGUGUGUUUUUCCAGUUCACAGUUGCUGCACUGAAUCUAACACAUAGACAUGUUUUGCCUAACACUCACACUCCCCCCAAAUAUUUAAGAUGUGACAACUUUUUAAAAGAUUUUUAUUCUAUUUUAUUUAUAUGAGUACACUGUCGAGUUUUCAGACACACCAGAAGAGGGCACCGAAUUGAGCUCAGGACCCCUGGAAAUGCCGUCAAUGUUCUUAACCACUGCGCCAUCCCUUGACAAUUUCUUUUACAAACUUAUUUUUCUUUCUUUGCAAAAGACCCAGAUAUAUCACAGUCCCAGACUUUCACAGUAAUACCACUCCAGACCUCUGUGGUGCUUGCUGCCUUCCCAUGGACUAGAGGGCUCUGCGGUUUAUUGAAACCUCGCCUGCUUCUUCACGCCAUCUCGUUGCUCAGGCAGAGGUAGGCGUAUACUAAGGAUUCCUGGAAUAAAAAGCUCAGAGAAGGCAGGCAGAGGGAAAGCUCUAUGCCUUACCUUUUGGAAAUUGAUUUCACCCAUGGGUGUUUGCAUGUGCUGUGUACAGUUAUGUUCUCAUGAAGGAAAGUACUCCAAAUGGGUCACAAACGACCAGUAAUCAUCCCGCUUCAACUGUCAUGUGUGCAGCACUUUGAUGCAAUGCUCAUAGAAGUCAGAAGAGGGCGUCAGUUCCCCCAGAACUGGAAUUAUAGAGGGUUCUAAGCCAACAUGUGAGUACUGGCAACCAAUCCCAAGUCUUCUGCAAAGGCAGCAAACGUUCUUAAUCUCUGAGUCAUUUCUCCAGCCACCAACUGAUUCGUUUAUACCUCACAGCUUAGUAAAAAUGACAGAAGAAGCAAACAGAAGAACUAACAUUCUUUAAGGCGAUUCUUUACCAAAGUCAGGAUGAAGAUCAUGUCCUUCGGGCACGGAAUUCUGGCAUCUGUGCGUUAGAGCCGAAGUCUGGAAUAUCACAAGAGAACUCUCACUGACUCUUAGUCCGUUUGACAGAGCGUGUCCUGCAAUAUUGCAGCAGUGUCUUUAGCACCAAGGAGCUGUGUGAUUUUCUCACAAUACCUGUCAUACUGCACAUGAUGUCAUAAAGAAGGCAAGUGCGGGAGGCAGUCCUCUAGCCACAGUGUCCAUUGCUGCUAUGAUCUGUUGUCAUCGACCACGAAUACUGCUUUGGGGUCGCAGACCAAGCACUAUCAUGCGCUGUCCUUGACAGCAGGGAGUUCCAGGAUUUUCAACCACUUCAGAAGACACUAUGGUAGCUUGCGUCUUUGGUUCUUUGUGGCUAAAUUGGGCCAGUUGAGACUUUCAUCAGGAUGCUGAAAGGUGACAUGAGUCAGGGAAGUGAUUUUCUAAGAACUCUAUUAGUGCAGUGUGUCCAGGAGAGCGUCUUUACCACACCCCAUAGAAACUGAUCUGUCAGCUCCUCUGCCAGCGAGGGAUACAGCGCCGCUCACAGUACAGACUAAGUAAUUGCUCCGCGAGAGCUCCAGCAGCUUUCCCUGGUCUUGCUUCUCUGGUUUCUUUUCCCAGUCUGCCCAGACUUUGAUCUCCUAAUUGAUAGUUUGACAUUCAAGGUUGCUUUUCUGUGUUCGUUUUGUUUUUUUUGUUUUUUUUUUUUGUUUUUUUUGUUUUGUUUUUGUUUUUCAUAGAAAGAACAUCCUCCACAUUAUGUAUGACCCAAGUAAAAAGUAAAAACUGGAACAAUAACAACAGGCAAACAACCUUCAGUGGAUCCAAAUAAGAUGUUUCUGAAAGCCUUUGAGCCAUACAUAGCAGGCUGCAGGCAGUUCCGAGGCCCGAUACAAGGUGGAAAGUGCAUAACCAAUGGAACUGAACCCUUCUAAAGGUUUUGGAACACUGUUGGCCAUUUUUCUAAGGAGGAUGGUGACUAAAGAGACAAGAUAGCUACGAGAGUGGAUAUUUGAAGGGGCAAUGUGGAGUCUGAGAUAUAUUCCAUCUAGAUUUCAUGUAUUGCUGUUCUUUUCUUGUUAAAAUGCUGUUCCAAAAUCUCAAUAUGAUGUCAUUGCUUAUCAUCACAGCAGUUGGGAAAUGCACAUGGGUGACUUGAUGUGGGUGUGGUUUUCUAGUGGGCCAGCCUAGCAGAAUCAGUGAGUCCUGAGUCUCAGUAAGAGAUCUUGUUUCAAAAAUCGUGAGUGAGUGUGUGAGUCCUGAAGAACAAGAUCCAACAUGUAUCUCUGGCCUCUGCAUGCCACCAUGCACACAUGUGUACCCGUGUGCACACAUAUGGCUAUACAUGUCCUCCUUAAAUCAUUGUAAUCACCUUCAAAUGCUUUCAGCCAAGAGUUUACCCAAACCAUGACCACAUGGGAAGCAUGCAACACUGAGACUGUCUUCUACAAUCCAUCUUCCCUAACACAUCUAGCAGGGCUCUUGGUUUCUCUCUGUCUCUCUCCCUCUCCCUCUCCUACCCACUCUCUCUCUCCCACACUAUCACACUACUCAAUUUUCUCUUUCAUCCCCAUGCUUUUAUCAUUCAUAAGUGCUAACAUUUCUUGUUUUAUACAGACACUGUUACUUGAUAGACGGUAAAAACAAUUUUUGAGAACAUGAAGACUAUUGGAUGGGAACGGUGUUAACUCAAACAUAUCUGAAAAAGCAGGUUUUUGUUUAAAGUCAUUUUCCAUGAUUCCAAACUCCUUUCUUGGUACUAAUUUCCCUAGCUUCUCUUGCUGCCUUCACUGUUAGUCUCCUUGUCUAAUUAUUUACAGCAGUAAGACUUUCCCAUCAUUCUUGAUUUAAUUUCUUAAUUUAUUCCUUCUUCCAUCCUUAGGAUAUUUAUUGGGUAACCAAAGGGUGAGUGGAGAUUUUUAUGCAGGUCACACCUUCCCGUGAAUAACAAUCUUGGUGGCAGGGAAGUCAGGUUCCUUCUACAGAGAUUAAAAGCCUUACAUCUGCAGAGGUAUUUAAUAACGUAAGGACAUUGGGAUGUUGUCUUGCUAACUUUUAAAGGUAAUUAAAGCUGUAACAGUUCAGGCUCUCCAUUGAUAGGAGUAGAACAUUCUCGAAGCUGCAAGUUGGAGGAGAAGAAGCCAUCCCAAACCUUGCAAGCAAGCAACUCUGAUAUAACUAGGCAGUGAGCUCAUAAAUGAAAUGUAGCUCGCGGAGUCACUGUGCUCAGUGAAUUUUGAAGGUUAAACAUUUCAGUUGUUAAUUUGCUCUUAUUAUUUUAAGUCAGGACAUGCGUAGACUUCAGUUUAUUGAGGUACGUGACUAAUGAAUAUAUGGCAUUUUUACAUACGGGCUAAAAUCCAAAGCAUUCAGUAUACAAAAACACCGAAGGAUUUGUCUAUGUUUAAUCACAGUUACUAAUAAAUUAAAAAACAUAACCAUAAGAUUUCAAAAUGUACUGUGGCUAAGAAAUUCUUACAGAUAGUAGCCUUUAGAUUAGUUCCACAAGGUUCCUUAGAAUAACCCAUACUAUGCCAUAUCCCCCACACAUAGUUCAAAUAUUAAGUCAUCGUUUAUAAGCUUCUUAUAAUUGGUAGCCCCUUAAUUUUUAUCUUUUAAAAAUUAGUUCACAAAGUAAUUGAACUUUUGUGAGUAGUCAUCAUACCUAUUUUAUCUUGGUUGAUUCUUGUCUCUUCCCCAUUGUACCCGUAAUAUGCUUUUUCUAGAAAUCUAACAUUUCCUCUACUGCUCAUCCAUCCAAUCCUUUGCCAAGGGUUCCUUCCCUUUUUUGGUUACAGUGUAGAAUGAGAAGUAUCAUGAAGAAAGGAAAUAGCAAAUGCUCCAGAAUAGUGAACUAGUCUUUUGUUUGUUUUUUUUUGUUUGUAUGGUUGGUCGGUUUUGGUAUGGUUUGGAUUGGUUUUGUUUGAUAACUGUGCCAAAUAUUUUCAAGAAUUAUCUGGAUACUUCACCUUAUUUCUUUGCAACUCACUGCUUACAUUAGUGUGAAGAGGGAAUAAGGAGAGGGGCUUAGCACUCCUGGCUUCCACUUUCUGGGAAUGUUUAAAAUAAAUUACCCUGCUUUUCAAGUAUGCCACACUGGGUAUCAUUCAUUUACUUUUUAAUUAUUAGCAUUUAUAUCUUUUUUCAUAUUUACAUAUCAUUUAAAAGUUCAAAGAAAAUAUUCCCGCUCUGCCAAUCUGAAGAGCUUCAUUUUAAAGGCAGAAGAAGCAUUGGGGAAUCCCAACUUAUGCCGAGUGGAGCCAAUCUCAACUGUAGGCCGUUUAACUCAAAAUCAGAGGCAAUUUUGCAUCCUACUCUGUUUGCUUUUUCAAAAACAAGUGAAACAGGUCUUGGUAUCUUUCUCCACAUGACACUUACUCGGAUCUGUCAGUGUACCACUGUGUUUAAAGUUUUCUUUCGUGGUUAAAUAUUUCCUUGCAACAAGAUCCAAGAGUUAGGCUGCCUUACACUUGGAUGCAGAAAUAUUUCCCCAAGUCAGAAGCACCCACAGCCAAGGCCAGUGCUCUGGAGGAUUCCCAGUAGCCACUCUCCUACCUCAUGCUCACUCUCAGCACAGAAGUCUGCAGAACCUGAAUCAUCCCAGAUUCUUAGAAAUAUUGACAACUUUGACAUUUUUUGUCUCUUUAAAGUUACACAGUAGAAUAAAUGAGAUGCAUGGUUUAACCUUCAUUUUUGUUUGUUUUGUUUUGAAUGAAGUGAAUGUAUAUUUGUUAAAGGAAACUGUGACAGGAGAUCUAGACUUUUAGGGACUCUUUUGUACCUCAAAGUGGUAGGUGAGCACCUUAACCCUUUACUCACGUCUUUAUUUCUUACUCAGUUGUUGGAAGUUCAGAACUCAGCUUCUAAUAAUUGCAUAGGAUUGCAUUUAUUUAUCUGUGUAUUUAUUUGCUCCUUUACCUAAUGAGAUCAACACUGAGAAUCUAACCCAGGGCUUGUGCAUGGCUGACCACCAUGUGGAGUAGGUUUGGCCUAAUGCUGCUUGUAUUAUAAUGUUAGUUUUGGUCUCCAAAACUGCUUACACAAGGGUCUCCACAUAAGACACUGAAGGACCAUGCGCUUGAUUGGUGGCAAUUGGUGAAUAAAGAUACCAGCAGUCAAUGGCUGGGCAGGGCAGACAGGCGGGACUUUUGGGAGGAGAUGGGGAAGCACCAUUGGAGGGGUAGAGGACGGACCACAAUGUGAAGAAGAGGAGAGUGAGAUGUAAUGUAGUAUAAAUGUAAAUGUCGUAUAAAUGUAAAGCAGCCCUAAGGUGGCAAGGAAGGUGGGCUGCCCAGAAGGUAAUGGGGCAAAAAAGAUAAAAUUAAGAUUAGGAGGGUGUUAAUUCAGGUAUAUGCAGAGGGGAGGUUUGCUAGCUACGAGGAGGUUUAAAAAUGCCCAGCCAUCGAGCUAAUCAAGGCAUAUCAACAUUAACUGGCAUGUGGGUGUGCCUCAUUCUACAAUCCAGAGGGGUCUGGUGAGUGGCUGGAAGUGGUUUAACUAAUUCGCUGCUACAACCAUGCUACCUCUGUAGCACAAGAUUACCCAAUUUCAUUUUCAUCUCCCAAUUAAUGUUCCUAAUUUGUAGGGUUAAAAAUAAUAUUAAACACUAGAACAGGGGUUGGGGAUUUAGCUCAGUGGUAGAGCGCUUGCCUAGCAAGCGCAAGGCCCUGGGUUCGGUUCCCAGCUCCGAAAAAAAAAAAAAGAAAGAAAAACACUAGAAUAAAUAUUUCAUUAGAAAUCAAUAGGGGAAGAAGUGAAUCUUUUCAAGCAAAUUUUGCUUUCUAUUACACAUAGAGUCUCAGAAUUGAUUGUCAAGGUCUACUGUAAUUAGAGUUUAGUUUGUUUCAGAGUAACCAGAAGUUACAACUUUCUAGUAUCUAACUUGAGAUUAGAGUAAAAGAAUAAAUCACCACAAAGAUAUUUUGUGAAGGAUAGUUCCACUACCCAGCUACCAGUCUUUUGAUUUAUACAUAGGUGGUUCAGGAUUAAAAACAGCUUUUUACAAUUCUGACUGAUCUCAAACCUAUAGUUCCAAGGUAAAAAAAAUGUGUUUAUUAAACAAUACAACUCAUGUCAGCAAAAAUGAGCUCAGCAGAUUUGAUAAGUGUGAGGUAAUUCUUUUCCUGGUGAUAUGUGACAAUCACUAAUCAUUCGCCUGAAAUCUUUAUGUGUUGAUGAAUUAGCCAAUUUGCACUGGUAAGCCAUGUCUGAUCCGGUUACUUCAGUUACCUUAAUAAUCAAUGCAGAUCACUGCAUGAUCGAUUCAGCAGCAAGAUGGGAAUUAAUCAUAAAGACAGUUCUCUAGACUAUGGUCCAAUGUAGUAACCACAAAUAGAUGUGGUUGUACGCCAAGAUUCUUUUUUCCACAUUGCUGUUAGUGAACUUUCCUCUUCGGUCUUCCUUUUGUUGGAACAGCUACUAUUUCAUUCACUCUCGAAAGAUCCGAAGCACCAAUAUAUUGAGGACAUCAGAUUUGGGUGAUGAGAGAGAAAGACCAAAAAGUUGAGUAGGAGGAGCUAGGAGGACUUGGGGGAGAGGAAAGAAUGUGAAUAAAAUGCAUUGUGUUAGAAUUUAAAAAUUAAAUGCAAAAAGGAAUAAAAGGGGUACAGAUUUUGGAAAUAUAGUUAUCAGGCAUCUACACCCACAAAAAGCAGUAAUAUUUUUAAAGAAGAGUAUCUUGGGGCCCUUGCUUCUGCCACAGAAGGAUGGACAUAACAAUAAGACAGUAGCAUUUCAAAGAGGAAGUGAGCCAUACCAAGCAUCAAACUUGAUGACACUGUCUCAAGACCUCCCAACCUUUGAAGUGUGAACAAUAACAUUUAUAUUUAUAAAAAUCAGGCAACCUAGGAGUCACAGAUAGCUUAAGACAUCCCUCUAUAAUCUCUCAUUUCUCUGGAGAAACGUGAGGUGAGGCAGUAUUCUGAGUUAGAGUGUAUUACAAGUGCUUAAUACCUCAUCCCUUCUCUGUACAAACCUACGAAGCUUAGGGCCAUUAACAUAAGGGCCCAUAAAGCAAGUGUCCUACAGUGGACUUCGUUGUACUAUGGAGGAUAUGAAGGUGGCCACAUAAUUUUUUCAGAGAGUGAAAUUGAGUUGGAGCAACACUGAAAAAAAAAAUCAAUGCAUGCCUCGUUGAAAAUUUCAGGCUCAGUGGAAACCAUACUGGCAAGGGAAGACGAACUUAGACAUGGGUUCUGGCUUUCUCCAAGAUUUGUGCAUUCCCCUUUCCUUUUCAGUGAAUGUGAGACAAACCACUGUGAUACAAUGUUUUCCCACAGAGGAUUUUCCCCUUCACAAUACUUAGAGUAAGGGACUUUUUAAUUAGACUUCCACCGUUUACUUAAGUUGGGCAUUUCUUUCAAGUUCAUUGGAGAAUGGCUCUUUUCAGUUCACAGAGGUCACUGGAGUCACAAAUGUCUUCUCACUUGAUCACCUUCUGCCAGCAACCUCACACUUUCCAGGGAGUACUAUCCAGUUGUUUUUAAUGAUUAUCAUGUCAGUGGGCAUGAAGGUCAUGUGACAGAGUGUGCAUCACUAAGCAAGGAUUCAGGCAAGAGCUAUCAGCAGGUGAGGGCAGACACUGAACUUCUCGUAGAUGAAAAUAAAUGUUUUUUCAUUUCACUGGGUACAAUAUUGAGCAGGCACUGUAGAAAGAGCUAUAAAAAACAUUAACAUCAGAGCUUCUACAAAAACUUGAGAAAAUGUCUUUAGAAAAUCACCAAUCUCACAUUUGAAAUAAAUGGUUUUUCAAAACUAUCUGGAAAAUAGAUACAGUGAAUCAAAUCAAGCAUGGUUUCACAACUGCUGAUGAUACAAGUUUAGCAGGUAUUGAUACUUUUAACUAGUUGAACUACUCAUAAGAGGCAAAUAAAAUUGGUCAUAUUUAUUAUUUAUGAAACCAUUUUUAUUUAAAUAUUUUUACUUACUUAUUUUACAUCCCUCUCACUCCCAAUCACCUCUUCCCACAAUCUUUUCCCAAUUUCCCUCCCCUUCUUCUCUAAGCUGGGUUCCCCCACCCCCAGUUAUCCCCCCAUCCUGGCACUUCAAGUCUCUGAGAGGCUUCCUCUCCCCCUGAGGUCAUACAAGGCAGCCCAGCUAGUAGAACGUAUCCCGUAUAUAGGCAACAACUUUUGGGAUAGCUUUCUAUUCCAUUUGCUCAUCGAGGUCAAGCUGCAUAUCUGCUACAUAUGAGCAGGGAGGUCUAUGUCCAGCCUGAAGUCACCAUUUUUGACUGGCCUCAAAUCUUCAUGCAUAUGUAAAUAUGUAAAUUUAUUUUUUUUGGAUUUCUAUCCUAAAGAUCAAGUCUAUUGUGCCCGAGUCAGAAAGAUCUGAUACUGUAGAAUGUGGUAGAUAUACUGAGGGUCACUUUGCUGGAAUAUCCCAUGGAGCAUUUGCAUUCUAAGACACAAGGUUUCCAACAUCUAUAUUCAAAACAUUCUUGCCAAUAUUCAAAUCAUAGCGGAGACUUAGAAGACACACGGGCCUGAGAAGUUUGGUCACUUGGGAAAAGACCCUGAAGAUGCUUAAGUUGUGUUCUCAGGCUGACUCUCAACUAACUUUAGAAAGAAUUGUGGUUUUUUUUUACAUGGACUUGUAUUGCAGUUUAACUAACCACUAACUCAGUCAAUAUGAAACCCAAGAAGUGAGGAAAUAUUUAAGCCAUAUGUUUUUCAUUUUCUUUCUCUCUCUUGCUUUGCUUUAAGAGUAUUUUUAUUUAUUUUUUCAGUUCUAUUGAAAUAGAUUUUUAAAUACAAUAUAUCUUGAUUACGGUAUCCUCACCCAUCUCUUCCUCCCAGUGGCUUCCCAACUCUCCUCCCAUCUGGAUCGACUCCCUUUCUGGGUCUCAUUAGAAAGGAACAGGUCAAGCCACAUAUUUCAAUGUGGGCAGAAGGAAAUAAAUUAGAUCAAACAUCCUUUCUACCUGUCAAAGACAAGCCAUGCCUUUAUGAUGAAUAUUUAAAUUAGUCAAGAGAACUAAGGACUUUUUCAGACAUUUAUUACAGUGUAGGACAUUUGUACACUGAUUGGAUGUAGUAAGUUCUUUUAAAGUAUAAAAUUUUCCCAUAUGUUGAACAAAAGCAGAGGCACCACUACUCUUCUAUUUUCUCUCUUUCAUGGUUACUCCACCCACUGUUCAGGAUGUGAACCAUAAGCAUGCCCCACCUUGCAGAAUGUGCCCAGUUCUUUCUUUCUACUGGGAUUUUGUUGUCGUCUUUCUUGUUAGGUGCACUUCUGUGCUCACAGUUUUGUCACAUCCACAGAGCUUUGUUUUUAUGCAUUUGAAAUGUGUCAUGGUAAACUGAUUCUAGCAGUACUCUCUCUGUGGGAUAUUUCAGGUCAUAGAUUUCAAGUUUCUCCCAACUCUGCUGUCUAAAUGUCAUGGAGUUAUCUCAAUCUUGGAACAAUUUAUCUUAUUUCUUGGGAUUUUUGCCAAAUUUAUCAGGAAAGACAAACUCAAUUCCCAAAUCCCAAGUUUACAAAGUACUCAGAGAUAACUCCCUUAAAAUACAGACCAACAGUAAGAUAAAGCUUUUACAUCUUCAUUUGCUGGUAGGGGUCAAUUUUCUUCAUCCACAAUUUAACAACUACUGUCUAUCCAUUAUACAGUCACAAUUCUAUGCGUGGAAAUCUCAGUACAACUCCCACACAAAGAGGUCAUCUCUUUUAUUUUAUUACUGACGACCAAAACUGCCUGUGCCUGAAAGGAAGCACUGAACUUGCUACAUUUAUGCCUGGUUUUAAUUCCUCAGAGUAAUUAAACCCUGAGAAUUUCCUGUAGUUUGCUAAGAACUAGGCUCUGCAUUUAGAAGGCCACUAUAAGGCUACAUGCUGUCCCUCUAUGUACUCUCUGUCAAGAAAUGGUUCAGUUUAUUUAGCAGGAUACAGUACCAGAAAUAAAGUUUCAUGGAUGCCCAGAGUUUCUGACUGAAGUUACUUAGAUUGAUCUUUCACGCCUAUAAAGUUUCUGGAUUUGUGUUACAUGGGUUUCCAUGCCAUCCUUGGAAUUCUGAUUAAUCAACUUGCUAUUGGUUUAGUGUGUACCUGUGGUCUCUCCUGCCAAACCCCCAGUUUCUUUCUAGCUCAUGCACAGCCUUCAUUUAUUUCUGCUAGUUUCAUUGUGCCAGGCACAGAGAACUUAUUGUAGUUGUUCAAUAAACAUUGAUUUCAACAAUCAAACAACAAUAUGCAUCUUUCAUAGGACUAGAGAAAACCAUUGCAGGCGUUGUCUUUCCUACAAUUUUCUUUCACUUAAGCAUUUUAAUUUUCCCCCUAGAGGAAGGUAUUGUAUACCAAUAACUUAAUAAUUCCUCAUGCUAUAACGAGUGGUCCUUUGCAAAAAUGUAACCAUACUGAAGACCCAACCUGAUCUUCCUCCCACCUGCAACUCCUUUGACAUAUUGACUGAUGUAACAGUAACCACUUGAAGGUUCUAGGGUUGGGUUUAGUCCAGAACAGUUAAGAGCUGUGAUUUGAUUAUUGACAGAGAAAGGUAAUAUAAUUAAAAGUGAAGGUAGCCAUUUUGGAAAUAGAGAAAUGCUUUGUAAGUUAGUUUCAUGGCCUAGUUGUACUGAGAAAGCUUGGAAGUUAUGAAACUUGGGUGAUGUGUAUCAUCCAGUGGAGGAAUUCUGAAAUCAGAGUUGUUCCUUAUUCAUUGUAGCUCGGUAGGAAUUUUUUGCUUACUUUUUUAUCCAGUAAAUGAUUCUAACCUCUCUUUCUCAUUGAGGAUAGAAGAGGUCUUCAAAUCUGGAGGCUUUUAGUUGCCCCUAUAGAAAUUGACACUUUUCUAAAUCUGAAUAGAAAUGGAACCAAAAAAGAAACAAACAAAAAGAAACAAAAACAGGCACAAUGAUAGAUUUAUAAAAGUAAUGUUUCUCCAUAUGAUGGAAUUGUUAAUCUAAUGUGUCUUUUCUGUAAAAUUAUGCAGAAUUUAUUAUUUAAAUGAUAGUAAAGACUUCAUUAAAAGAUUAAUGGUUCUGGUUUACCAAUUUACUUAGGAGGUCACUUCAUUAUUUAGUUCAUUAAUUCUGUAAAUGUCAGGUUUACCAUGAACCGUAAUGAUUUGCAUAAGUCACGUUGUCAUUCUACUGGUAGACCAGUAUAAAGACUACAAAUAGGAAUUUGGCAGCAUUUAUACAUUUCCUGUUAAAUAAAAGGUGUGUUGUUGUUUUUAUCCAAUCCAACAAAGAAAAACAGCUGUAAUCUAUCUAUGAAAAACAAGGUAAUCUAUCUGAUAUUCUCCUAACGUUUAUAUUUAAUGCAUCUGAUGAACAGGUAAGAUGGAAAAAAAAUCUCUAGAUUAAGUAAUAUGAAGAAGCCAAUAUUUGUGACCAUGUUUUACAUAAAAUCAUUUCUAUCCGUGAAGGAGUAAUCAAGUCUUUGAUCAAUCCUUAUUUUAUUUUAUUUAUUAAAAUGAUUAAUUAUUACAGACAUCAUCAACAACAACAACAAAAACAGUUUAGGCAGGAAGUCAGUAAAGAAAACUCUUGAAAUUUUUGAUAGAGUUGUUGGAGAGAAGCUCAGCAUACCUGGUGACUUCUGCUGGAAAUAUAGGAGGGGAAGGACUCAAGUUCUCUGAGGAGCUGGUCACUGGGAGUUUGACCAUGCUCCAGGGAGUAUAUGGACAAUACAAAUCGGAUUUGGUAUUAUUUUUCUUUUUCUUUUGUGGGAGAAUAGGUCACAAGAGGGGAACAUAGACCUGGGAGGACUGGGAAUUGAAUCUGAUAGGGGUGCAUUAUGUGAAAUUCCCAAAAUAUCAAUAAAUAUAUUAUUGGAGAAAGAGGUUACUAGGACAACUCCAGAAAAUCUUCAUUUCAGUAUUGUAAGAGUUAUAGAGCAGCACUGACUUUUCACUGUGGUGACCAUCCUCUACACUCUUAGUGUAUUCACAUCACUCUCUGCAAGUGUUUACAUUUAAUUUAAUUGAUCUAUAUGAUAGGAAAUUGGUGCAUUACUAGAUUUAGCAGUUGAAAUAGAAUAAAAAAGCCAAUGGUAAUUAUUUAAGAUACACCAGGAGUUUGGAAAAUGCAUGAAAUGAGAUAUUCUGUCUUUAUUUUCUUAUUCUGCCAAGUUUUGUAGAUCCUUGAGAAUAAGUGUAGGAAUCCGCUAUCAUCUGUCUAUAAACUCUCAACUCCCUGUGUGCCUGUCUUGAGAUACAUAUUUACAAAGCUAGGAAAAUUGUGAAAAAUAAGAGAAUGGGUCUUAACUUUAUAGUUGUAUUUUGCAUAAUAUGUAGUGAUAAUAACUAAUAACAACAAAAUAAACAACAGUAAUAAAAAUAAAUAACCAAUUUAUAUUUGUAUCUUUGUAGAAUUUUUUGGCAAAAUAUAGAUAUUUGGUUUGGAAGGAGAAAUUAAAUGUGUGUCCUAAUAUAACUUUAUGAGAACAACCUGCCUUAAAUGAUACAUUCUAUUAAGAAAUUAAUUUUCAAAUGUACAUUUUAAUGCUGAUGGAAGAUUAUUUUUCUCUAUGAUUAGUCUGACUCAAUACUUAUGAAGUAAAGAUUAGUCAUGGAAGCAGCUUUUGCAUUGCUCUUAAGCAUGGUGCCUCCUGAGGAAAGAAAGGGGACUAGCUUCCACACUUGCUUUCUAUGUUUAGAGCAAGAAACCCCUUUCUAAAGAUUCUAGCUGUAUCUUUUAAAUACAUUGGCCCUCAAACCAUGGAAGUUAACUAGAAUUAGAGCUCCUUAAUUGAUGUCAAGUUAAACUAGAGUUAAACUGACAAUCUGCUUCCCUACAUCAAUGCUAGCUCUGCAAGCAAGAAAAUAAAGGGAUAGAUAAUGCCCCUUACAAGACAGGAGGAGUAACAUGGCUCCUACAUGGCUAGUCAGAGGACAUUAAGAGGAAUUGCGGACUUACAGUCUGAGUCUUUUGGUCAUUUGUUAUGUGAUCUUCAUCUGUGCAAAAAUUAUGGUUAAUAUACAAUUACUAAAUAACAUGAUUCUCCAAGCUUGGGCCCAUCCACUUCUAAGAGAUAAAAGUCAUGGAGUUGUUAGAGCUCUGUGCAUGAGAUUGGGGAAGGUAUCUGGAAGCUAGCAAAAGCCUUAGCUGGCCCAACUAUGCAUCUCUGAGAAUGCCAGUCCCCAGAUCUGUAAGAUGUACAUAAUGCCUGUCAUGCCAGGUUGUCGUGAGACUCAGGUAACAUACACAAUGGAGUUUGUAGAUAAUGAAGCUUUACACUACAUAAUACAAGGUAUGUCUAAUGAAACACUCAGUUUUACCUCAGCACCAUCACCCUCUCCAGCUGUUUGGUCCUGUUUUCCUGCUGAUUCACCAAAGUAGCUUCCUGCUGUCUCAUUACCACUUCAUGUUUAACAUGGCAAAGAUCAAGAUUUUAAUUUUUUCCUGGAACAUGCACUUCUCUUUUCAACUCUGGAGUCCCUGUAGUGAAUAUUACUCCAGUGUCAAUCAAGUAGGCUGAAGGAUGAGGCCAUUUCAGAGGCUGCUCCCUCAGUCUCUUGCUGAACAACCAUGAUUUCGUGAAGUCUUGCCACUUGCUAAGUAGCAUCUCUUAUUUCUAACCAUUUACUCUUUAAAAAAUUCCAACAAAUAUGUGGUUCAGUUUUCUGUCAUUUAAUUAAUCUCCUGCAUAAAACAACUGUACCCUAGCCAUCAGCUUUAUUUGUGCCUUUCAUGAAAUCCCUCUAAGAUAUCUAAGUGAGAUCUAAAAUAUUCCUAUAUGACAUCUGCCCCUAUGUUCAUGCAAACACGUAGAGUUGCAGUCAAUUGUAAAUAACUGUCUGUGCCUUGCAUACCUGGGAGAAUCCCCAGUCCUCCUUUGCACAAGGGUACACUUACCAAAGGAAGACAAUAAAGGUCUGCCAAAUGCAAGGCCUCCAGAGGAAAUCAACAUUUUUGCCAACCUCUUUCCCCCCAGCCCAUAACACUAGAGUACACAUUCUACGAUGAGAUAGAAGAAUAUUUCACAGUCAAAGUGAAAACAAUGGUAGAUAUGGAGUCACGUGACCCACCUCAGAUGGACUGCUUUGCGGAUAGGAGAAUUGAUCUCCCAGCUCAUAACAAAAUGUCUUUAGUGCAAGUCAUGGUAGCAAUAAAAAGGAAUAAGAACGGAAGUUUUGUUUGGCUCUGAGGUGACUGAGGAAAGAAUAUAGUUAUUAUAGGUUGUAGCAAGCUACUGAGAGGAAAAGAAACAUAGAAUGCUUGAGUGCAAAUGGACUCCUUUGUGGUCCUACAGACCUUGUGUUGAAUAUGGACUUCUGUAAAAAAAAAUGGCUGGUUAAUGUGCAUGGAUGUGUCAUAUUGAAAUGUUUAUCAGUAAUCAGUGAACUUUGAAACCAAGUUGCCGAGCCCACUUCAAGGAUGUUCCUAUUCCCCUUUUCAUUUAUUUAUUACCAUCGGGCAAAGCACUGAGAGGCUGACCAUUACUUAACCACAAGAUCUUACCUAUCUAUUUACACUGAGCUCAGUUCAAUCAAUAAUUAUUUAAGACUGGGUGUCCCUUGGAAAGGAAAGAACAUUAAUGCUACCAGGGGAAAAUGUCUUUAGUAAUUGUGAUCCACAGGUUGGAUUAUUAACAUGAGGUCUGCAUAUUAAUAGUUCCUUGUUCUUCCCAAAAUCAUUUCUUUCUUUGUGGAAGGCAUACUGUAUAAACCUCUUGGCAUUCAUUUCUUUCCUCUGCUCUUCUAAACUUCCUGCAUCUGGGGUAAUUCCCCAGUGAGUACUGAAUCUUUCAUGUUGCGGCAUAGUAUUAACAAAAGAAGUUCACAAUGAUUUAAAGAAAAGUUUCUUUCCUAUCAAAAGUGUAUUCUUAGAUAUUUAUUCUCACUUUUCACUUACCAGAGGCAAGCACAUUGCAUCAAAAAGAACAAGGUGGCAUGACUUAAGUUUCUGUGGUCUUUCUCUUUUUAUUUCUCUCUUUUUUUUCUCUUUUGCUCUUAAUAUCUGGCCACCUUAGGCAAGUUCUUUAAUUUUUUUCUGAGACAGUUUCUUAGAGUACUUGAACUGUGAAACUUGCCAAAUUAGUCCAGCACAGAUGCCCUAUAGGAAGACAAUUCAUUUAACACUCCAGCACAGCAAAAAAAGACUUUUCCAAUUCAUUCAGCAUCUGCCUGUUCAUUCCUUUGUUUCACCAAUAGGCAAUCUGUCUAAACUCUGUACCAUACAUUGUUUUGUUCCUUUGAUUAUAUAGAUGAAUAAUUCAACUUAAAUUCUGUCAUUAAAGAAUUCUUCUCUGGAACAGAGGAAGGAGACAGACUAGUAGGCAGAAAAUAGAUGAUAGAUCUCACAACAGGUAUGUAUAUCAUCAUUAAGGCAGAGGUGGGAAUGUCUAACUGUUCAGGGAAACCUUUAUGACACUGCAGUGGAGGUACUGGCAGAACAUGGGGAAGAAUCAGAUAGGGAGAGAAGGGGACUUUUAGGAAAUAUUUAUCUUUAUGUUUGCAACAUACAGUUUGUGACAAGACAUGACAUACAGAGCUUCAGAGUAGAGUGGAACUAGGUCUUUGCUCUAGAAGGGUGACUCUGAAAAAUUAUGCUACUUUAAGGGAAGGAAAUUGGGGAGAUUUUUUUUUUUGUAAUAUGAAAGUGUAAACUAGUCCAGUCAUUAUGGAAGCAGGCAUGACACUUCUAAAUUUGUUUCCACAUUAAGAAUAGAUAAGACAUGAUGCAGUUUCCUCAAAACCUAAAAAUAUAGUCAACCUAUCAUAUAAUCCAACUGUACCACUCUAAGCCAACAUGUCACAGAGACGCUGGCACAUAAUAGCACUUUUAAUAAUAGCUAAAUUAUGAAACCAACCUAAGUAGCCAUCAACAGAAAAGUGGAUGGAAAAAAUGUGGUUUAUAUGCACAGUAGCAUUAACUUUUUGGCCAUAAAAAAGUGACAUUUUUUCAUUGGUGAAAAAACAGAUGCAACUACAGAUAAUAAUAUCAAAGACAAUCUUAUGAAAGUAAAUAUUACAUUUUCUAUCAUGUGUUUAGUUCAAGAUUUUAUAUAGAUCCAUGAAACUAUAUGCGUACAGAUGACAAGAAACUCUUCAGGAGAACAAAGGGAAGGAAGAGGGAAGCAACAUGAAAAAGGAAGGGCAGUUAGGUAUGUGAGAGGAAAAUAUCCGUAAAGUUCACUGCAUACUUUCAACAAUGGUCUUACAUGGCUUAGUACAAAAAAAUAAGCAUAAUCCAAAAACAGGAAAAUAGGGAAAGAUUAUGGAUCUGGAAAUGUAGGGAGAGUAGAAAAGGGAAAGCAAAGAAUCAGAUGGAAAAAUUACCAUACAGAAAGAAAAUAAUGAUUUCUGGGUUAAAGGUUGAGGGCUAAAGUAUUAGAAAACACUCUAGACAAUGUCUGAUCCCAGAGCUCCACCGUGAACAUGCCCAGUGCCUGGUAUUUGAAUCCACAUGAUACCUGUGAUGUAGGCACGGAAAACUGAAUGACUUCUUUCUACUCAGUUCACAGAGAUGACUAUUUGCAGCCAUUGAGACUAAAAUUGGGAUUCAACAUUUGGUAUUUCUCUUGCUCUAAGACUAAAAGUAGAAGGGAGCAGGACUCCAAAUUCUGCUCUUAUGUAGUCUCUUGGAUCCUCUUAAGUUUCUAUUCUUAUUUUAAAUUGGGCUUUGUUUUACUUUGACAAGUUUGAGAUUUUUAUAAAAAGGGCAAAUAGAGAUGAAAGUGGCUGCCUCCUCUAGACAGGCAUGACUUCCAGAGGAGGGAGGGGGACAUCAUUCUACCUACAAAACUUUUGGCCCAAAUUUGUCUGGCCUACAAGUCCUGUAGAGAUAAAGAUGAGGCAGAGACUGAGGGAACAGCCAACCGAGUACUAGCCCAACUUGAGACCCAUCCCAGAUGAGAAAGCCAACCCUUGACACUAAUAAUGAUAUUCUGCUAUCCUCGCAGACAGGAACCUAGCAUAUCUGUCUCCUGAGUGGCUUCAUCCAACAAUGGAUAGAGGCAGCCAAACAUCAGGCAGAGCUCAGGGAGUAUUGUGGAAGAGUGGGGGACAAAAGUGACCAAGCCAGAGGGGUCAAGGAAAUCACCAGAAGGCCUACAGAGUCAACUAACCUGGGACUGUGGGGGUUCAAAGAGCUUGGACCACCAACCAAAGAGUACCCAGGGGCUGAAUCUAGGCCUCCUACACAUUUGUAGCAGAUGUGCAUCUUGGUAAUCAUUGGCUAACAAGUGGAGCCAAGGCUCCCUUUUCCUACCCAGGACUGCCUAUUUGGGCCUCAGUGAAAGAGGAUAUGCCUAGUCCUGGGAGGACUAGAUUCCCAAGGGCAGGAUCGUACCCAAGGGAAACUCCCCUUCUCUAAGGAGGGGGAAAUUGGAAGAGGGAUUUGCAAGGAUGAGACCGGAAAGACAGAAUGGGGCUGUGACUGAGAUGUAAAACAAACAAACAAACAAAUGUUUUAUCAAGAAUAAGAACAGACACUGCAGUUUUUCGAAAUUGAAAUAUGUAGAAGAAAGACACGGAGCUGAGUGCAAGUUAGCUUAAUAAGGCCUUUGAGAACAAACCUUCAAUGUGUCUAUGUGGUGACCUGAUAUUAAAUUUCCCUUGUCAAUAUGGCUGCACUACAGCUAUGCUUUUUAAACCGCAUUUAAGGUGCUUUUGUGAAGACAAUUUGUUAAUUAGUAAUUUAGGUGAUUAAGAAUACAACGAGUUGAUAUUUGAGCAAAGGAGAUUAUCAUAGACAACCUUGAUGGCAGGCUCAUGAGAGGCCUGCCCCACUUCUUUGUGCUCUUCCAAGUUCUAGUGUGGGAGGUUGUUUUCUUCACUGGAAGUAUUGGUUUGGGUCUAGCCAGCCUUCUUGCUCAAGGGCUGAAACUGAACUGAGCCCAUGAGAUAGUCUGAAGAUAGAAAACGUAAAUUUGCAUUAGGAACUGGCGUUUAAAGGAAUGGGAUGUACAGUGUCAAGAGGUGUGGCCUAAACCUAAAUGUAAGUGGUACCACCCUAUGAGAUUGGUAUCCUAGACUGCAUAAAUCAGAAGUGCAAGUGAGCAGAUUUUUAUUGCUCUUGCCUUUCUGACUGCAGAUGCAACACCACCAGCUGCCCAUGCUCCUCCUGCCAUGCCUCCACUAUGAUGGACUUAGAAUUGAACUUCAGGGUAGACUAAACCCUUUCUUUCUUAAGAGGCUUUUGUCAAACACUUUGCCGCACAAGAUGGGUUACUAAUUUGACAACUUGGUUUUUCUUUGUAAAUGCUAUCAACAGAUAUUCCAUUGUUAGGCUGAAGGAGAACUUAUUUCUUCACUUACUGAAGACCAUCUGCACAGUUUCCAUUUGGGAAAGACUGACAAAUGAUUCCUAAACUUGAGAAUUGCCAGUUUAGGCAGUCUCAGCUUUGAGCUGUGCUAUUAGAAAAUAUUGAGGUUAAUUCUGCUGUUCUUGGAUUCCAAGCCUCUGCAUUUUGCAAGGAAGAAAUUUCAGGUUUCUCCGAGAAUCAUCUGCAUGUCUAUUAAAAACUGUCUUCUUGUCUUGGGGGCUAUGGCCAUUGAUUAACUUAACAGCAUUUCUUGGUUCAUGAUUAUUUGAUAUCAAGUGGUUAAGUAGAGUUGAUUCAGAACUCUUGACUGAGUUGUAAACCAGAUUCCAAAUGUGGACUGAAUACUGAGCCAGAUGCUAGAGCUGUAAUGAUGAAUUAGGUGGCGCCACCCUCAAGAGGGAAUUUUCUCAGUCAUGCAGGUCAAGAAUAUCUGGCGUUUUCUAUGAUCAAUAAAUAAUUCAUUUUCCUUCAUACCUGUAGUGUAUAGUUAAGGUAGACAUAUGUCUUGAUUUGCCUGGGAAAGUCCAAAUUCAUUUUAGUUAUCCUUCAGUAUCAAUAGUGCCCCCUUUCCUUCCCUAAAUCAUUCCAUUUGAAUGAAAAGUUUUAUGGCCAUUCUAUCUAUAAUAAAAAUUAUGGUCACUGAAGUACAAAGGGUCCAAGAUGAUUAGAUACUGCCCAAGUGAAAGAAAGUGAGAGUGGUCGUUCAGCAAUGCAGUGUCCUAAUCAGUUUGAUUUCCUAUCUACUGAACACAAUGAGGGUAAAAGAAGAGAAUCAAAAUAGUGUCUUUAUUCUAAAAAUAAAAAGAGAAAGCAAAGGCAUAAUCUCUACCUAUUCAUUCAUUUUAAUAUGCAAAUUCUCAGGUAUGAGGUCAUGAGAGCUGCUGAUUUUUGAAGAGGCUAUAUAAAUUGGAUGACUCAAACCAGAACAAAAGAAAUAGACCAUUGGUGACUUACAACCAUAAACUGUGUUUUUCUGUUGAUGCUGUGUAUUUUUUUGAAAUAAGGGCCAAUUCUUAUUAAAAUGUCAUUUAAGCUCAAUUGCAAUAUGCACAGUUACUUUCCUAGGACAUGCAAAUAUAAAAGUAUGGAAUUGUUCAUCUGUAUGUACAACACAGCUUACAUAAUAGACUAUUCACAUGAAUAUACCUUCUGGAUAGUUAAAGUUUGUAUAGCACAUAGCACAGUAUGUUUUUACUUCUUAAGAAUUGCAAGGAUCUAGCUAUCUUGACCUCACAUCGUCAUUGCCAGGUAGACCUUCUACAAUUUUAGCUGUCAAAACCAAAACCCUUCUUGCCUCUUCUUCAUCUUUUAACUGCACUUCAGACUCUCCACUCCGGCAAUGUCUUAGCAUCUCGUCAAUCAUUUUCCAUGUCUCCCAGCUUUCUCUCUCCUUUGCUCUCCAGCUUGUCCUCAGUCUAUUCGAAUCUUAUUCUCUUUUUAUCCCCACUUCAUUACUUUUAGACUUUCUGCUCCCAUAUCAACACAAAUGCUUUGUCACAAUGUCCCAGGACACAGACUACUCUACCAAAAGGCUCCCCACUCAAUGUCUCACUUGGCUUUUAUGUGUGGCAUUAAGAUUUCUUCAUGGCUCUCUCAGGACACUUUGCUCCACUGAACUCCACUGAAGUUUGCCUUGGUUUCUUUAUCCUCUGGACAUGACUUAAAUAUUUAGUAUCAUUUGUAUAUUUAUCCACAUGUUGAUAAUUCACGAAACUACUUUCUUUGGAGAUUUUGUUACAAAAAUUCAAAAUGCACAUAUUCAAUUGCCUAUGAGUCACUGCCACCUAGAUCACAUAAAAUAACCUAAAAAUCAGCACCUCCAAAUCUCUACAGACUUUCCCUCUCUUUCUCUCACAUGCAGAUCCUUGAAAGUAACAUAACAUCUUCCCAGACACUCGUGCAGAAACUGAAGCCAAUCUAGAUUUCACCCUUUGCCACCUUCCCUCCACCCUUGAUUGUUUUCAGUAUCAAACGCCAUAUAUAACUUUUCUUUCCUCACUAGGCAUCUCCUGGAUGCUGUUUUUCUUUUGGUUUUCUCACCUCUUACCAUAGUUAUUGCAGUUCAUAUCUUAAAAAGAAGUGCAGUCGAGGAGCAAGA